rnacentral:rRNA from 1 species
AGUGAACGCUGGCGGUAGGCCUAACACAUGCAAGUCGAACGGCAGCACAGUAAGAGCUUGCUCUUACGGGUGGCGAGUGGCGGACGGGUGAGGAAUACAUCGGAAUCUACUUUUUCGUGGGGGAUAACGUAGGGAAACUUACGCUAAUACCGCAUACGACCUACGGGUGAAAGCAGGGGAUCUUCGGACCUUGCGCGAUUGAAUGAGCCGAUGUCGGAUUAGCUAGUUGGCGGGGUAAAGGCCCACCAAGGCGACGAUCCGUAGCUGGUCUGAGAGGAUGAUCAGCCACACUGGAACUGAGACACGGUCCAGACUCCUAAGGGAGGCAGCCGUGGGGAAUAUUGGACAAUGGGGGCAAGCCUGAUCCAGCCAUACCGCGUGGGUGAAGAAGGCCUUCGGGUUGUAAAGCCCUUUUGUUGGGAAAGAAAAGCAGCAGGUUAAUACCCCGCUGUUCUGACGGUACCCAAAGAAUAAGCACCGGCUAACUUCGUG